ACGCUCGACACCUACGGGAGCAGCAGUGGGGGAUAUUGCACAAUGGGCGCAAGCCUGAUGCAGCGACGCCGCGUGAGGGAAGACGGUCUUCGGAUUGUAAACCUCUGUCUUCGGGGACGAUAAUGACGGUACCCGAGGAGGAAGCCACGGCUAACUACGUGCAGCAGCCGCGGUAAUCUGAGCGGGCUGGCAAGGC
rnacentral:rRNA from 1 species